rnacentral:rRNA from 1 species
AUUGAACGCUGGCGGCAUGCUUUACACAUGCAAGUCGAACGGCAGCGCGGGCUUCGGCCUGGCGGCGAGUGGCGAACGGGUGAGUAAUGCAUCGGAACGUGCCCAGUAGUGGGGGAUAGCCCGCCCAAAGCCGGAUUAAUACCGCAUACGACCUGAGGGGGAAAGCGGGGGACGGAAAGGCCUCGCGCUAUUGGAGCGGCCGAUGCCGGAUCAGCCAGUUGGUGGGGUAAAGGCUUACCAAGGCGACUAUCGGUAGCUGGUCUGAGUGGACGACCGGCCACACUGGGACUGAGACACGGCCCAGACUCCUACGGGAGGCAGCAGUGGGGAAUGUUGGACAAUGGGGGCAACCCUGAUCCAGCCAUGCCGCGUGCGGGAAGAAGGCCUUCGGGUUGUAAACCGCUUUUGUUCGGGAAGAAAUCCUCUGGGCUAAUACCCCGGGGGGAUGACGGUACCGGAAGAAUAAGCACCGGCUAACUACGUG